CAAAGUUAUUACUUCACAGAACUGAGGAAGAAAAUCAGAACCAUGAAAGUAAAUGGAAAACUUACAUAUCUAUGUUUUAACAUAGUCAUCAAAAGAACACUAAACUCAAAGUCAGGAACCAAAGGUUUCAGGUUCUUCAUUUACAAACGAAGGUGUUGAACAAGAAAAUAUCUCUUGACUCUUAACAGUGGGAAAAUGCAUACAUGCGUGCUGUCAUUUCAGUUGUGUCCAGCUCUUUGCAACCCUACACACUAUAGCCCUCUAGGCUUCUCUGUUCCUGGGAUUCUCCAGGCAAGAAUACUGGAUUGGGUUGCCAUUUCCUCUUCCAGGGGAUCACUGGGAAAAAUAUUUACUACUAACUCCUGAACUUUGUAAGAUGCAAUGAGGAUUUAAAAGAGACUGUUAGAUAAUAUUUGUUACCCUCUUUGUUUGCCCACACUGCUGUCUGGAAUAAAGAUUACCUUUCCAGCUUCACCUGCAUCUAGAUGUGGCCACCUGACUAUGUCCUAGCCAGUGGGAUGUCAGUGGAAGUGUGAGCAACUCCCAGAAUACUGUUAGAGAAGAGCGAAGUGUGCACUCCUCCCUGCCCGCCAUCCUGCUCACCAGUGUGGGUGUGAGUUUCUCCUAGCUUCUGGGAAGAAUGGAAUUUUACCUGUUGCUGUAGUUCGGGGCCACCGAUAAUGACGACACAGGGCGACGGCUGCUGUGGUGUGUACUCACCAUAGUGUCUUUGAUGACUGUAGAUGUCCAGCCUUCAAAGGCGUAGAAAGGAUGACCUUUGUCUCCGUGAGGACAAUCGAAGCAUCGCUCGGUGUCAUACCCGUAAUUCAGCAGCAUCCUCAGCAUGACUUCGUCUUUCAGGGUAUAUUGCAGCGCCGAUGGGAAAUGUAAAGGGUUGACUCUGCAGAAGUAAUUAACGUUGGCCCCGUGCCGUAGCAGCAGACUCACCAGCUCAUAGUUGCCCAUCCUGAGGGCUAUCUGGAGGCAGUUAACUGGGUCUUGAUUAGGCAUAGCUCCAGCACUCAGAAGCAGUUUAACUGAAGAGAGGUCACCAUUUGAUACAGCGAAAUACAGAGCCGACUUCCUGUGGUCAUCGUAGUGUUUGCGGAUUCUCUGGUCGAGCAUGAAAUUCACGUCAAAUCCCUCCUGGAUGAGAAGUUCCAGGCAUUUGGGGUGUGCUCCUGCUGCUGCACAGUGAACUGGACUGAUGCCACUCCUCUUGAUGGCAGCAAAAUCAGUAACUGGAACCAAAAUCUUCAGAGCUCUGAGAAUUUCAAAGUGCAUUAAAUUUUUUUUUGUUAAGAUGCA